AGGCUUAAAUUGGCUCGUCAAAGACAAGGCUUAAAGGGGCUUGCUCGAGGGCAAGGCUUACAUUGGCUUGUCAAAGAUAAGGCUUAAAAGGGGCUUGCUCGAGGCCAAGGCUUAAAUUGGCUUGCUCGAGGGUAAGGCUUAAAUUGGCUCGUCAAAGACAAGGCUUAAAGGGGCUUGCUCGAGGGCAAGGCUUAAAUUGGCUUGCUCGAGGGCAAGGCUUAAAUUGGCUUGCUCCAGGGCAAGGCUUAAAUUGGCUUGCUCGAGGGCAAGGCUUAAAUUGGCUCGUCAAAGACAAGGCUUAAAAGGGGCUUGCUCGAGGGGAAGGCUUAAAGGGGCUGUUAUACCCGAGGUUUGGAUUUAUUAAUUGUUCGGACUGGACUUGGAUUUAUAUUACAUCCAAGCUGCCUACGUACCCAAACGGGAUCAAGUCGAACGUAGUUCAUUACAAAAGAGAACGGAAAAUAUGCAUGGGCACGCAGGCCCGCUAAACUAGAAAUAAAAUGCAGGAAAAGAAAAUCUCUUUAAAGGCGUCGGGAAUUUUACUUGUAAUAUAUUUUCAGAUUGUCGGCAUUCCAGGGCCUCGGAAGAGGUCUACCCGAAGUGUCUCUUAGGCUGUAUGCUCCUUUGCGAACCUGCCGUAUGACCUCAAAGGGCCCUUCCCAGACGGGCCCGAGCUUCCCUGGGNNNNNNNN
rnacentral:lncRNA from 1 species